CAACGCGCCGGCCGGGGACGGUCCGACGCUGCGGGCGGUGGAACGCGGCGCGGUGGCCGUGCUGCUCGGCCGCGUGUCGAC
rnacentral:tRNA from 1 species